rnacentral:rRNA from 1 species
GCUGGCGGCAUGCCUAACACAUGCAAGUCGAACGAACCCUUCGGGGUUAGUGGCGCACGGGUGCGUAACGCGUGGGAACCUGCCUUUAGGUUCGGAAUAACAGUUAGAAAUGACUGCUAAUACCGGAUAAUGUCUUCGGACCAAAGAUUUAUUGCCUUUAGAUGGGCCCGCGUUGGAUUAGAUAGUUGGUGGGGUAAUGGCCUACCAAGUCGACGAUCCAUAGCUGGUCUGAGAGGAUGAUCAGCCACACUGGGACUGAGACACGGCCCAGACUCCUACGGGAGGCAGCAGUGGGGAAUAUUGGACAAUGGGCGAAAGCCUGAUCCAGCAAUGCCGCGUGAGUGAUGAAGGCCUUAGGGUUGUAAAGCUCUUUUACCAGGGAUGAUAAUGACAGUACCUGGAGAAUAAGCUCCGGCUAACUCC